rnacentral:lncRNA from 1 species
CUCAAAUAAAGGAGUCUGGCAUUCUUCUGUCAGUGAUGCGUAUUUGCAAAUCAUGGAGAGAAGGAAAGGAGAAAGAGCUGCUCAAAUGAGGAAAAGUGGCAGACAAUGCUGAUGUUCAGUAGCAAGGUAGACACCAGCUCUUUUUUGUAAUUCUUAUGUUACAGUGCAUCUGUGCGUAUUUCAGUCUGCAGUUGGUGGCACUGAAGGAAUUGCUGUCAUGACCUUGGGGCAGUGCAGAUAUUCUCCAUGGAAACAUUGUCCAUCUUUUAAAACUAAGCAUGAAAUGCCUGAUAUGCCAAGAAUGGCAGGGAGGUCGCUGGCUUGAAUAAGAGUGGAGAGGAUUUGGGGACAGUGAAUGCUUCCACAACUACUGUACAAAUAACACCCAAUAUUCAAGUUUGCCAGGAUGGAGUAUAUCACAGCUUUGAAGUUGCUUGAUGGGUUGGUUGGCCAAUGUACAGGAAGGUACACAAGGUGCCUGGGAGUCAAAGUAAGACCAAGCUGUGAGGAAGGUCCCAUGGCAGCAGAGGGCCAGGUGAGGGGUAAGCUAGGAAAAAGCAACAAGGCUUGUAAUGGUAAUUUUCUUGACCUACUUUAUUCAUCCAUUUUGCACUUUGCAAGCAGGGCUCCUAGCAACAGUGCUGCAGAUGCCUCCUGAUGCAUCGUGGUGGAGACAGCAUUAGGUGGUUAUAUGCUGCUGUUCCUCACCCUAAGCAAAGCAACUUGGCAGCUGUUUAACUGGGCUGUAGCCAGAAAGCCUUCCUCUGUCAUCCAUGCACUCUCAGUCAUUCAUGAAUUCUGUACAGAAGUGUGUAGUAGAACAACUGUGUUACUUUAGGAUAUUUACAGUAACCAUGUUUGUGAUGAAAAAUUAAAUAAAAUAAUAUGCCCCAUGAUAAAAUAAGUAAGG